UGAUUUAGUAUGUGAUAUUUGAGAUGAC
rnacentral:piRNA from 1 species